GAUGAACGCUGGCGGCGUGCCUAAUACAUGCCAGUCGAGCGAACGGACGAGAAGCUUGCUUCUCUGAUGUUAGCGGCGGACGGGUGAGUAACACGUAGAUAACCUACCUAUAAGACUGGGAUAACUUCGGGAAACCGGAGCUAAUACCGGAUAAUAUUUUGAACCGCAUGGUUCAAAAGUGAAAGACGGUCUUGCUGUCACUUAUAGAUGGAUCCGCGCUGCAUUAGCUAGUUGGUAAGGUAACGGCUUACCAAGGCAACGAUGCAUAGCCGACCUGAGAGGGUGAUCGGCCACACUGGAACUGGGACACGGUCCAGACUCCUACGGGAGGCAGCAGUAGGGAAUCUUCCGCAAUGGGCGAAAGCCUGACGGAGCAACGCCGCGUGAGUGAUGAAGGUCUUCGGAUCGUAAAACUCUGUUAUUAGGGAAGAACAUAUGUGUAAGUAACUGUGCACAUCUUGACGGUACCUAAUCAGAAAGCCACGGCUAACUACGUG
rnacentral:rRNA from 1 species